rnacentral:sRNA from 1 species
GCCAGGUGUGGUGGCACUUGCCUGUAAUACCAGUAACUUGGGAGGCUGAGGCAGGGGGAUAGCAAGUUCCAUUCAGGUCAGCCUCAGCAACUUAGUGAGACCCUGUCUCAA